GAUGAACGCUGGCGGCGUGCCUAAUACAUGCCAGUCGAGCGAACAGACGAGGAGCUUGCUCCUCUGACGUUAGCGGCGGACGGGUGAGUAACACGUGGAUAACCUACCUAUAAGACUGGGAUAACUUCGGGAAACCGGAGCUAAUACCGGAUAAUAUAUUGAACCGCAUGGGUCAAUAGUGAAAGACGGUUUUGCUGUCACUUAUAGAUGGAUCCGCGCCGCAUUAGCUAGUUGGUAAGGUAACGGCUUACCAAGGCAACGAUGCGUAGCCGACCUGAGAGGGUGAUCGGCCACACUGGAACUGAGACACGGUCCAGACUCCUACGGGAGGCAGCAGUAGGGAAUCUUCCGCAAUGGGCGAAAGCCUGACGGAGCAACGCCGCGUGAGUGAUGAAGGUCUUCGGAUCGUAAAACUCUGUUAUUAGGGAAGAACAAAUGUGUAAGUAACUAUGCACGUCUUGACGGUACCUGAUCAGAAAGCCACGGCUAACUACGUG
rnacentral:rRNA from 1 species